rnacentral:sRNA from 1 species
CCUGUAGUCCCAGCUACUUGGGAGGCUGAGGCAGGACAAUCACUUGAACCCAGGAUGCAGAGGUUGCAGUGAGCCGAUGUUGCACCACUGCAGCGCAGCCUGCCAACAGAGUAAGACUCCAUCUCAACAACACAACAAAAUAAAAAAGGAAGAAAAUUUUUAGGAGACAAUGUUUUUCCAAGAGACUUCAGAACCAUUCCCUGGAGUGAAUUAUUUCCAGUGGUGAAGAGUAAUGGAUGGAUGGGAUGAGAUUCUCAAAAAAAUCUUGCUCCUAUUUCAGAAGUGUCACUUCAGCCCCUUGAAGGUCCAGUAAACCUGGCUGAGUAGUGUGGUCUGUGGAGGUGCAUGGGCUUCAGAGUCAGGCCAACGUUGAUCCUGAGUCCCAGCCAGCUGCUUAGUAGCUGUGGGAUAGUUAUACAAGACACAUCUGCAAGAAAAGUCAUGAUAAAAUUGAUUGCAAAAACAGCAAUUUGAAAAAUUUCUUAUUGUAUUCAUGUCCUUGGAAAUGGCUUUUAUAGUCAUUCCUAUCAAGAGACAGAUUGUUUCCCAAACCUUGAAUCUCUCUUGACUUAUUUGCACUGGCACUGUGUGCCAGUUUGGGGCCCAGGUUUAAAGGUCCUAAAUGCUUCUGUUAUCUUUUUCAGAAUUCUUCCAUCUCUAUGAGAACAAGCCCAUUUUAACUUUCUGGAGAAUAAAGUAGCAUCUGAGAAGAGCCAAAGUGCCUCAGUUUACAGACAGCUCACUCCCAGAAGCAGAGCCACCUAAUUCACCAGCAGCUGACCACUCACACCUGAAGGAGCCAAACUGAGCCCAGAAGAAUGGC